rnacentral:rRNA from 1 species
UCAAUGGGGAGUACUAGGGGUCAAAGCCGGGAGGGGAGUUAAUUGGCGAAGCUCGUCGUAGUCCGGAUUGGAGUGUGCAACUCGACUCCAUGAAGUCGGAAUCGCUAGUAAUCGUGGAUCAGAAUGGCACGGUGAAUACGUUCCCGGGCCUUGUACACACCGUUUCGUCACACCAUGGGAGUGGGCUGCAAA